rnacentral:rRNA from 1 species
AACGAACGCUGGCGGCGUGCCUAACACAUGCAAGUCGAACGGGAUUCGGAGCUUGCUCCGAUGAGAGUGGCGCACGGGUGAGUAACGCGUAGAUAAUCUGCCUGAUGAUCUGGGAUAACAGUUCGAAAGGACUGCUAAUACCGGAUAAGCCCACGGAGACCUUGGCCUUUUCGGGAAAAGGGGGGGACCUUCGGGCCUUCCGUCAUCAGAUGAGUCUGCGUACCAUUAGCUAGUUGGUAGGGUAAAGGCCUACCAAGGCGACGAUGGUUAGCUGGUCUGAGAGGAUGAUCAGCCACACUGGAACUGAGACACGGUCCAGACUCCUACGGGAGGCAGCAGUGGGGAAUUUUGCGCAAUGGGGGAAACCCUGACGCAGCAACGCCGCGUGAGUGAUGAAGGCUCUUGGGUCGUAAAGCUCUGACAGAGGGAAAGAAGUGUAUGGUGGUUAAUACCCAUUGUACUUGACGGUACCCUCAAAGGAAGCACCGGCUAACUCCGUGCCAGCAGCCGCCGUAAUAC